CAAGUGUUUCAGAGUGGAAUGAACAUGCAGUUGUUUUGUCUAAAAUGCAAUUGCCACGGAGGGCAGAUGGAUUGCAGUGACUUGGACUGUCCAGUCUUUUGUUCGGUCACUGGGAGUCAGUAUAUUACAACAUUUGACGGGACUCGAUAUUACUUCUACGGCGGAUGUGUUCAUAUCUUAGUGAAAACGAAU